rnacentral:rRNA from 1 species
AGCAGCCGCGGUAAUUCCAGCUCCAAUAGCGUAUAUUAAAGUUGUUGCAGUUAAAAAGCUCGUAGUUGAAUUUCGGGAUUAGUACGUUGGUCGUGCCUUAGGUACGUACUGGUGUUACUGGUUCCUACCUUCUGACGAACCAUCAUGUCAUUAAUUUGGUGUGGCGGGGAAUCAGGACUGUUACUUUGAAAAAAAUUAGAGUGUUUAAAGCAGGCUCGCGCUUGAAUACAUUAGCAUGGAAUAAUGAAAUAGGACGUUGACCCUAUUUUGUUGGUUUCUAGGAUUGACGUAAUGAUUAAUAGGGAUAGUUGGGGGCAUUAGUAUUCAAUUGUCAGAGGUGAAAAUUCUUGGAUUUAUUGAAGACUAACUACUGCGAAAGCAUUUGCCAAGGAUGUUUUCAUUAAUCAAGAACGAAAGUUAGGGAUCGAAGACGAUCAGAUACCGUCGUAGUCUUAACCAUAAACUAUGCCGACUAGGGAUCGGAUGAUGUUAUUUUUAAUGUACUCAUUCGGCGCCUUAC